CCUACGGGGGGCUGCAGUCGAGAAUAUUCGACAAUGGAGGAAACUCUGAUCGAGCGACGCCGCGUGGAGGAUGAAGUACUUCGGUAUGUAAACUCCUUUUGUAAGCUAACAAGUUAUUGAGUAGCUUAAGAAUAAGAGGUUGCUAAACUCGUGCCAGCAGCAGCGGUAAUACGAGUGCCUCAAGCGUUAUCCGGAAUUAUUGGGCGUAAAGGGUGUGUAGGUGGUUUUGUUAGUCUCUUGUUAAAUUCUUCGGCUUAACCGGGGGUCUGCAAGGGAAACGGCAAGACUAGAGUGUGCGAGGGGUCUGUGGAACUCAUGGUGUAGCGGUGAAAUGCGUUGAUAUCAUGGGGAACACCAAAAGCGAAGGCAGCAGACUGGAGCAUUACUGACACUGAAACACGAAAGCGUGGGUAGCGAAUGGGCUUAGAUACCCCGGUAGUC
rnacentral:rRNA from 1 species